GUGGGGAAUAUUGCGCAAUGGGGGGAACCCUGACGCAGCCAUGCCGCGUGAAUGAAGAAGGCCUUCGGGUUGUAAAGUUCUUUCGGUAUUGUGGAAGGUUGGUGUGUUAAUAGCACAUCAAAUUGACGUUAAAUACAGAAGAAGCACCGGCUAACUCCGUGCCAGCAGCCGCGGUAAUACGGAGGGUGCGAGCGUUAAUCGGAAUAACUGGGCGUAAAGGGCACGCAGGCGGAUUUUUAAGUGAGGUGUGAAAUCCCCGGGCUUAACCUGGGAAUUGCAUUUCAGACUGGGAGUCUAGAGUACUUUAGGGAGGAGUAGAAUUCCACGUGUAGCGGUGAAAUGCGUAGAGAUGUGGAGGAAUACCGAAGGCGAAGGCAGCCCCUUGGGAAUGUACUGACGCUCAUGUGCGAAAGCGUGGGGAGCAAACAGG
rnacentral:rRNA from 1 species